GUGAGUCAUCGAAUCUUUGAACGCACAUUGCGCCCUUUGGCAGUCCGAAGGGCAUGCCUGUUCGAGCGUCAUUAUCAACCCUCAAGCUUGGCUUGCUAUUGGACCUUCGUCGUUAAAGACGGAUCCCAAAGAUAAUGACAGAGUCAUGUUGGACCCUUGAUGCAACGAGCUUUCUAAGCACGCAUUAUAGUGGCCAAAAGGCUCCCGUCUCAACCCCUAUUUUAUCAGGUUGACCUCGAAUCAGGUAGGAAUACCCGCUGAACUUAAGCAUAUCAAUAAGCGGAGGA
rnacentral:misc_RNA from 1 species